GACGAACGCUGGCGGCGUGCUUAACACAUGCAAGUCGAGCGGAAAGGCCCUUCGGGGUACUCGAGCGGCGAACGGGUGAGUAACACGUGAGUAACCUGCCCCAGACUUUGGGAUAACCCUCGGAAACGGGGGCUAAUACCGGAUACGACACAGCUUCGCAUGGGGUCUGUGUGGAAAGUUUUUCGGUUUGGGAUGGGCUCGCGGCCUAUCAGCUUGUUGGUGGGGUGAUGGCCUACCAAGGCGACGACGGGUAGCCGGCCUGAGAGGGCGACCGGCCACACUGGGACUGAGACACGGCCCAGACUCCUACGGGAGGCAGCAGUGGGGAAUAUUGCACAAUGGGCGGAAGCCUGAUGCAGCGACGCCGCGUGAGGGAUGACGGCCUUCGGGUUGUAAACCUCUUUCAGUAGGGACGAAGCGUAAGUGACGGUACCUGCAGAAGAAGCGCCGGCCAACUACGUG
rnacentral:rRNA from 1 species